GCUGGCCAGAGACUCCCCACCAGACCCAAGAGGCCAGACAGCUUGAACUUUUCUCUGCACCAGGUCCAGCCUCCUUUGAACCAUGAGUUCCCACCAGCAGAAGCAGCCCACCAACCCACCUCCCCAGCUUCAGCAGCAGCAGGUGAAACAGCCCUCCCAGCCUCCACCUCAAGAACCAUCUGUUCCUAUAAUCAAGGCGAUAUGCCCCCCCAAGGUUCCACAACCUGGCCAAACCAACGUUCAACAACCUGGCCCCACCAAGGUUCCACAACCUGGCCAAACCAACGUUCAACAACCUGGCCCCACCAAGGUUCCAGAGCCAUACUAUCCCCAGCAUCCUCAACCAGGCCAAACCAAAGUUCCAGAGCCAUACAAGCCCCAGCAUCCUCAACCAGGCCAAAAAGAUAUUUCAGAGCCAUACUACCCUCAGCAUCCUCAACCAGGCAAUCCUGUGUUUCCUGAGAAGGGUCACACCAAGCUUCCUGAGCCAGUCCACCCUAAAGUCCCUCAGCCUGGCCAGCCUCAGGUCCCUGAGCCAUUUCCUUCGAAGGUUACUCCUGGCCCAGCCCAGCAGAAGACCAAGCAGAAGUAAUGUGGACCACAGCCAUGCCCUUGAGGAGUUGAUCACCGGAUGCUGAAUACCUUCUUCCCUUCUGCUUCUGUGUCUUGAUUAUCUGUAGACCUUGUAAUCAGUAUGUUCUCACCAUCAGUCAGAAUCUUUCUCUUAUUUGCAUCCUAAAAAAAUAUUUUCUGUGAGACUUUUCCUUGCACACUCUGAAGAGUCCUCUGAGCCUCUGAAUUAUGCAGAAGGCCCGAGUGGCUCUGCUGGUCCUAUGUUGCUCAGGACUCACCUGAAGAGUCAGUCUGGAUGAGAACAAUGCCUGUUUCCUGCUCUGUCCCUAUUAAAGCACUUUAAUCCCA